rnacentral:pre_miRNA from 1 species
AUGUAGGGCAAUCUGUCUUUAAGUAGGAACAAAUUACUAAAAAAUAAAUAAAUAAAUAAAAAAUCCUAGUUUUCCCUUAAAGUCAAGUGUCUUGU